CAGUAAAGCUUUUUAAAGAGAGAGCAAAGAAGAGAAUGAAGUUGAAGUGUUGGGGAUGUGUCCAUGCUCUUUGUAUAUAUGGAAAUGUUUGCUUUCUGUGUAUUGUUAGAGUGUUAACUGCUCCCCACUUAUAGUUCUUUUGUUUUUCAGGUGGUCUAUAGAGUUUGGAGCUCCUAAAACUGGGUCCCCGGAGCUUCAUGUUAUGCUAGCUGAAUAUUUAUAUUCAGAAUCCCCUGAAC
rnacentral:lncRNA from 1 species